rnacentral:rRNA from 1 species
CCCUUAGAUGUCCUGGGCCGCACGCGCGCUACACUGAUGCAUGCAACGAGUUUAUAACCUUGGCCUGAAAGGUCUGGGUAAUCUUUUGAACGUGCAUCGUGAUAGGGAUAGAUUAUUGCAAUUGUUAAUCUUGAACGAGGAAUUCCUAGUAAACGCGAGUCAUCAGCUCGCAUUGAUUACGUCCCUGCCCUUUGUACACACCGCCCGUCGCACCUACCGAUUGAAUGGUUCGGUGAAGAUCUCGGACUUCGAUAUUUAUUCUUUAUUGAGUUUAUAUUGUGGGAAGUUAUCUAAACCUCAACAUUUAGAGGAAGGUGAAGUCGUAACA